rnacentral:rRNA from 1 species
GAUGAACGCUGGCGGCGUGCCUAAUACAUGCAAGUCGAGCGAACAGAUGAGGAGCUUGCUCCUCUGACGUUAGCGGCGGACGGGUGAGUAACACGUGGAUAACCUACCUAUAAGACUGGGAUAACUUCGGGAAACCGGAGCUAAUACCGGAUAAUAUAUUGAACCGCAUGGUUCAAUAGUGAAAGACGGUUUUGCUGUCACUUAUAGAUGGAUCCGCGCCGCAUUAGCUAGUUGGUAAGGUAACGGCUUACCAAGGCAACGAUGCGUAGCCGACCUGAGAGGGUGAUCGGCCACACUGGAACUGAGGCACGGUCCAGACUCCUACGGGAGGCAGCAGUAGGGAAUCUUCCGCAAUGGGCGAAAGCCUGACGGAGCAACGCCGCGUGAGUGAUGAAGGUCUUCGGAUCGUAAAACUCUGUUAUUGGGGAAGAACAAAUGUGUAAGUAACUAUGCACGUCUUGACGGUACCUAAUCAGAAAGCCACGGCUAACUACGUG